CUAAGUCAGGGAUAGUCCACCGAAAGGUGGUUUAAUACCGGAUGUGCUGGAAACAGUAAAGAUUUAUCGCUUAGAGAGGGGCCUGCUUCCUAUCAGUUAGUUGGUAAGGUAAUGGCUUACCAAGACUAUGACGGGUAAUUGGUCUGAGAGGAUGACCAGUCACAAUGGAACUGAGACACGGUCCAUACUCCUACGGGAGGCAGCAGUGAGGAAUCUUCCACAAUGGACGAAAGUCUGAUGGAGCGACACCGCGUGAAGGAUGAAGGUCUAACGAUUGUAAACUUCUUUUCUGGGGGAGCAUAAUGAGAGUACCCCAGGAAUAAGGGACGGUAAAUCACGUGCCAGCAGCCGCGGUAAUACGUGAGUCCCAAGCAUUAUCCGGAAUUACUGGGUGUAAAGGGUUUUGUAGG
rnacentral:rRNA from 1 species